GAGCUCGUGCGCCGCGCGCCUCCGCCAAUGGCAGGAGGGGACGGGCGGGGCGCCGGCCAAUGCGGGGCGGCGCGCGGAGCGGCUGCAGCGGGACGUGAGGCCCGUGAGGUUGAUUCCAGCAACAUGGUGUUUCAAAGAUGCUGCAAGGAGCUAACAGUAACAACCAGCUCUGUACCCUUCUGGACAGUCUGAGCUGUGCAAUGCAGACCUGAAUUUACAGAGCAAACCUGAGAAAUCUAGUGAAAAAGCAAGUUCCCAGAUUUUCAGGAAUCUCUUGAUUACCUAUAAGAACAAGAAGUGAACAGCAUCAAGAACUCUGCCACAGUACAUCUUUGAAGGGAUGAUACGAAGUUUCCAGUCCACGUCAGUCUGACAGGAUGCUACUGCUGCAGAUGCAAUCAGACUAUCGUCUGGAUCACACAGAACUUCCACAGGCACAUUUGUAGGUUGCUUCUUUUCUGUGCCUGUUUCAAAGCAGGAUUGUGACCCUGCAGUUAGUAUGUCAACUGCUUUAUCCUGAGCAUUGGCAGUAUGUUCAGUUAUCAAGCUUUAGCAUACAUUUAUUUCUUGAAAUAGAUACUGAGCAUAAAGAGGUACUGUCAGCUCCAGAGUGCAAGAGGACCAAAUGACAAAUCCUUCAAGUGAGAAAUCCUUCAAACACAAGUCAGGUUUUGUUCAAUCACCUUCACAACUGCAGUUUUAUUUUAACUUGUACUUGAAGAAGAUAAAGGCAAAGGCACACAAAUUAUCACAGGAUUAACUAGAAUACGAACCCUGAGUAUGUCAGCUACUGUUAGGUACUUCUCAAGCAUAUGCUUUUACCCAAAGGUAAAUGUAAAAGAUACUCGUUUUCCUUGGCAGGCUAAGCUAAAUUGCACUUACAGCUAGGUAAAAGCGUAUCUGCUCCAUAGCAGUUGCCUGAAUUAAGUUCACUACCUUAUUUAUCUCUUAGCAUUAUGUUUACAAGCCUAUGUUGUAAUUAACCACCCCCAGCUGGUAAAAAUAUAAAACCCAGCAACCUGAUCCCACCUGUAACCUCAGUACACCUGAUGAUGUGCUGGACAGCACUUUUUUUUGGUUGUGGAUUUUGAGUUUGUUUGUUUGUUAUCUGUUUGUUUUUAAAAUAAAGGGAGUCUGAACGCUGCA